rnacentral:lncRNA from 1 species
AAAGCAUGUAGAUAGAAUAUAAUAUUGCAUCAUCUUUAUCCAAAAUGUGGCAUUGGUUGGAUCCAACAAGCAAGUUUCCAUAUUCGAGACUAAGCAAGGAAAUUUUCCAAGCUCAGACUCGCAAUAAUUACAUUCCAAUAUAGAGAACACUCUGAAAACGUCCACAAAAUGGUAAAAACACUUCAAAACUAAUGCUACUAACUAAACGACUGUUAGUAAGGAGGGGUGUCUGACUGGUCAUUUUAACUAAAGAAUAAAGAGCAGUAACCUGAACUGUGGUAAGCGUACCAUAGAUACUUCUAACAAAGUUGUUGAUGACACAUCAAAGCAUUUUGAUAGAAGAAUAUUGCAUCUUUUUAUCGAAAAUGUGACCAUGGUUGGAUCCUCAAAGCAAGUUUCCAUAUUCAAGACUAAGCAAGGAAAUUUUACCAAGCUCACACUAGCAACAAUUACAGCCUGAUAUCGAGAACAUCGCUAAAACCUCCACCAAAAUGGUAAAAAUACUUUAAAAAUAAUGCUACUAACUAAACAAUGUGUAGAAAAGAAGGGUGCCACAUUGAUG